GACCUGGUCGAGUGGUCCGCCUAACGGUGUGUACUGCUUGACUGGGCCUUACCUCUUGGUGAGCCGGCGUGCCCUUUAUUGGUGUGCGUCGGGGAACCAGGACUUUUACCUUGAGAAAAUUAGAGUGUUCAAAGCAGGCAUGUUUGUCUGAAUACAUUAGCAUGGAAUAAUAGAAUAGGACAUGCGGUUCUAUUUUGUUGGUUUCUAGAGUCGCUGUA
rnacentral:rRNA from 1 species